UUGAUAGCUGCAAGAAAUGUGCAACUAAUUAAUGGAGGCGGAUUUUACAGCAAGAAAAAUCAACAGAAAUGUCUAAGAUACAAUCAUGCUGGAGACCACGGCUACGCAAGGAAACAAUCAUGAAGGUAAAUUCAUACGGUGCAGCGGCACUGGUGUGGGAUUGGCCGUAAACAGUAGAGCCUCCAUGGUCAAGCCAGAAUGCUACACAUGCAAAAGAUGGUGCAACCAGCUAAGUAUCAGUUUACUUAUCGCUGGAAUGAGUCCUCUUUAUGGGAGAUUUUUUAAUCUUAGGAGGGACGUAUUUGCCAGCCCAAUCAAUUUAGGCAGAACAAGCAUCCACUCCACUCUGCCUCACAAAUUAAUACUUUCUCUAUAAUUAAAUAUCCAUUGACUAAAGAAAACACAUGCAUUUGAUACUUUUUUAUCCCUGAGUUUCAUCUCAUCUGGCGGUACUGCAGUUUAAGUAAACUAAAACCAAAUUAACAGCUACCAUUCUUGUAUUGAACAAAAUUAAGGCACACAUGUAUAAGCAGAUCAAGGCUAGCUAUGAGCAAACUACAGAUAGAUGAUAUACUUUGAGCUAUAGCUAGACGACAGUCCAACCAUUUGACCAGAGUCACAUAGAGAUCAACCUAAGCANNNNN
rnacentral:lncRNA from 1 species